rnacentral:misc_RNA from 1 species
GCAGUUGGUGCUCUAGUUGCAGGUGUGUCCUUUACCAGAUGUGAAGUUAAUGUCUUUCAUACUGUACAUGAAAUUGUUAGGACUACCACAGCAUUUGACCAGUGGUCCAGUGACACAAAUGAAAGCCAUUCUUUGGGUUAUUGUACUUCAUAACACGCUAGUGUUGAAUUGUCUACCAUCAGAGGCUUCUUGAUUGGGAAGUGAGAACUACUUGCUAGCCUAAGCAGCAUAGUGAACUCAUGAGUCAUGAAAUGCAUAUAUCAAAUUUCUGGUCAGCAUCAUUAUUUAAUUCUAGCAGCUACUGAAUUCUGAAAUGAUCAUACUGCUGUUGAAGGGAGUCUUAUAAAUAAGUGGAUCAGAGAAGAAAUUAAGUUUGGACAUUGGUCAUUGUGUUCUAUGGUACUUCGAAAUAUAAAAAUUUCAAAAAUUGGGUGUGUUGUUAAUGUAUCAUUUGAGUAAAAACAUUUGGUAAUACUGACAGAAAUUUCAUAUUUCUUAGAUGUUGCUCACAUUUCAGGUUCAACAUUAAUUAAAGUCCAAACAGAGUGAUAUAUUCUAUGGCUUGCAAUGAUCUGCAAAAUUGUUGUGUGAAGAAUCUAUUCAUGCCACAUGCUCAUGUGAGCAAUUGUUUCAUGAUUGCAGGUAUAUUUGGCAUGAACU